rnacentral:rRNA from 1 species
AUUGAACGCUGGCGGCAUGCCUUACACAUGCAAGUCGAACGGUAGAGGGGGCAACCCCUCGAGAGUGGCGAACGGGUGAGUAAAGCAUCGGAACGUGCCCAGUAGUGGGGGAUAGCCCGGCGAAAGCCGGAUUAAUACCGCAUGAGACCUACGGGUGAAAGGGGGGGAUCGCAAGACCUCUCGCUCUUGGAGCGGCCGAUGUCAGAUUAAGUAGUUGGUGGGGUAAAGGCCUACCAAGCCGACGAUCUGUAGCUGGUCUGAGAGGAUGACCAGCCACACUGGGACUGAGACACGGCCCAGACUCCUACGGGAGGCAGCAGUGGGGAAUUUUGGACAAUGGGCGCAAGCCUGAUCCAGCCAUGCCGCGUGCGGGAAGAAGGCCUUCGGGUUGUAAACCGCUUUUGUCAGGGAAGAAAUCCUUUGAGCUAAUACCUCGGGGGGAUGACGGUACCUGAAGAAUAAGCACCGGCUAACUACGUGCCAGCCGCCGCUGUAACAC